GACGAACGCUGGCGGCGCGCCUAACACAUGCAAGUCGAACGGUGAAGAGGAGCUUGCUCCUCGGAACAGUGGCGGACGGGUGAGUAACACGUGAGCAACCUGGCUCUAAGAGGGGGACAACAGUUGGAAACGACUGCUAAUACCGCAUGACGUAUCGGGAUGGCAUCUUCCUGAUACCAAAGAUUUUAUCGCUUAGAGAUGGGCUCGCGUCUGAUUAGAUAGUUGGUGGGGUAACGGCCCACCAAGUCGACGAUCAGUAGCCGGACUGAGAGGUUGAACGGCCACAUUGGGACUGAGACACGGACCAGACUCCUACGCGAGGCAGCAGUGGGGGAUAUUGGACAAUGGGGGCAACCCUGAUCCAGCGACGCCGCGUGAGGGAAGAAGGUUUUCGGAUUGUAAACCUCUGUUGACGGAGAAAAAAAUGAUGGUAUCCGUUUAGAAAGCCACGGCUAACUACGUG
rnacentral:rRNA from 1 species